CGUCGGCGCCCAUGGGUACUCUCCCUUUUCGAAACGUUUUGAAAGACAAUGCAACCGUCCCAAUGGAAUAUUAUUGAAGCCCUGCUUGAAAAAGCCCCUAAAGAUUUAUGUUAUACAACGUUUGACAUGUUUGAACGAACUUAAAUAUAUUUUUUUUGCUCAGACGCAACCGGUACAUUUUCACUAGCCUUCGGAGCGCGCUAACACUAUUGGGACAUAAAUUAUUAACUUUUUUGAACAAAACUACAUUUGUUAUGGACCUGGGAUUCCUAGAAGUGCCUUCUGAUAAAGAUAAUCAAAGGUGGGCUGUGGAACUGUAGAGCUGCACAUUAACAAACCUGUCACCCUGUCCAUUCCUCUGUCCCCAGAAUGGUCCACCACACAAAGGACAUCGAGCCAAGUUAACAACUGUGGGAAACAUUGAAGUCAACCUGGGCCAGCAUUCCUGUGGAACACUUUUGACAACUUGUAAAGUCCAUGUCCUGAUGAAUUGAGGCUGUUCUGAGGGCAAAAAGGGGGGUGCAACUCAAUGUUAGGAAGGUGUUCCUAAUGUUUUGUACACUGUAUAUCAAAGACUAGGUUGAAGAAUGUUAAUAGGCCCCAGGAAGAGUAACGGGAUACUUAAUAAAUACAAAUACAGACAAGU
rnacentral:lncRNA from 1 species